AUGGCAGCAAUUUUAGGCAGCUCGACGGCACGCGACAACGAUGAUCAAGAAAGGGGAGGUCAACAGAGAUGCAGUAAGGCGUGGCAAAAGCAACGCUUGCAGGCAGCAGAGGCAAAACCAAGCAGGGGCGACUCGAGGCGUGGUAGCCUAGAGGCGAGGCAGCAGGCGACGGCAACUCAUAGCAGACACCAGUGGUGA
rnacentral:rRNA from 1 species